GGAGGGCAAUGGGGUGAUCUCAGCUCACCGCAGCCUCUGCCUCCUGGGUUCAAGCAAUUCUCCUGCCUCAGCCUCCCAAGUAGCUGUGAUUACAGGCACGCCACCAUGCCCAGCUAGUUUUUGUAUUUUUAGUAGAGGCAGGGUUUCACCAUGUUGGCCAGGCUGGUCUCAAAUUCCUGAUGUUGUGAUCUGUCCACUGUGGCCUCCCAAAGUGCUGAUAUUACAGAUGUGAGUCACCGUGCCUGGCCUAGUUUGAUGUUUUUGAUGAAAUGUAGUGCAUUUUAUCCAGGACAGUUUACACUUCAUUGAAUCGAAGGCUUUGCAUUUUCCUGUCUUCCCUGGAUAUGAGGCGGCUGGAUUUGACAGUGACCUGACAUGAUCAGGGGUCGCAGGUGCCCUGUUGUCAGCUCUGAGGAGCAGUGGCUGUUAUCCACGUGCCACCAGAGGUGCCUGGACUGAGUGUGAUAAAUGAUAUCUACCCUCCAGCCCUGCUUGCCACAGUCACAUGCACGUGGCCAAUCUGGACUCACUUUCCGUUUGCAGGAAAGGAGGCUUCUUCUCAGGGGUGGAUGGUUUUGGGGCCUUCUCAUUGUCUUCUGGGAGUGGAGGCCAGCAUCAGACCCAGUCUCCUGCCAGGGCCACAGCCAGCGCCUGGGCUCAUUCUGCCCUCUGUAAUCCUGUUUGCUCCUGUGUGAAAUGACAGCUGUGAUGCGUGGCCUGCAGGUGGUGAGAGUGUGGGACGCGCCUCACAGAGCAUGUUUCCCACUCCAGGGGACAUCAGAAAGGGAGUCUCAGGUUCCCUCUCCGCCUUCCUCUCCCACCCGCAGGAUGCCCAGCUUCGUGGAGCCACCUGACAUCAUGAAGAAACUGCCCUGGGUAGAAAACUACUGGCUAGAGGAUAUAUUGCUGGCCAAGCCCAAAGUGACCCAGUACUGCCUGAUCUGCAUGAAGGAAAGCUACACCAACUUCCACAUCGACUUGGGGCACCUCCGCCUGGUACCACGUGUUCAAGGUCGACAAAUGCUACAAGUGCAUCAUCAAGCAGGGCCAGAGCCUCUUCAUUCCCUCAGGUGAGUGCUGGCAGCUUUGGGGACUGUGUCCUAGGGCUUGCAGGCCCUCAUCAAGGUUACUGGCCUCUCAGGCCGUGUCCCCACCAUGGGAUCUCUUGGCAUCCCUGGCAUGCCUGCCUCCUUGUCCAGAGCUUAAUGCCAUCCUAGCCCAGUCCCUGCAGAGGGACCAGCAGUGGGGCUUGUGCUGUCUGCUCAGCAUGGGCACUCAUCACCACUGAGGACACCUUGGAGCUGCACAGCCAGUCAGGCCCCUUCACAGCCUGGCUGGGCUCACUGUGACUGAGCCCACGGCUGGAGACCCAGCUCAGAGAGUCUUGUGUGGGAACAGCAGCCACGACAUCAGAACCAGCGAGGGAAGAGGGUGCUAGCUGCUCAUUAAGUCAAUAUUGGGGGAUAUUUUGAGUCUGUGCUGAAGGAGAAAGCCCGUCAUGAGCCACUUUGUGCCCCUAGAUGACAUUAGAACAAAUCCCAGAUAUUCUGCUGUUUCAAUAAAUAUUCUACUAUUUCUGAAGGACUUCCUUUCCUUCUAAAAUAACAUAGCUACAAUACUGUUCCCACAUCUUGAAAAAAUGAACAAUUAACAGCAAUUCCCUAGCAAUAGCCAAUUGGCGUUCAGAUUUUCACAUUGUUUUAUAGGGUUUUUUUUUUCUCAUUUUAAGUAAGUAUCAAACUGAGGCCCUCACACUUUAAUGAUUUAUAAGCUUCAGAAUCUUCUGUAAUCUAUGAGUUCCUCCUCC
ensembl:lincRNA